AGCGCAGGCGGUUUUUAAGUCUGAUGUGAAAGCCUUCGGCUUAACCGGAGAAGUGCAUCGGAAACUGGGAGACUUGAGUGCAGAAGAGGACAGUGGAACUCCAUGUGUAGCGGUGGAAUGCGUAGAUAUACGGAAGAACACCAGUGGCGAAGGCGGCUGUCUAGUCUGUAACUGACGCUGAGGCUCGAAAGCAUGGGUAGCGAACA
rnacentral:rRNA from 1 species